rnacentral:rRNA from 1 species
GACGAACCGUGCGAACGUUGUUCGGAAUCACUGGGCUUAAAGGGCGCGUAGGCGGGUUCACAAGUCCGGGGUGAAAGCCCCCAGCUCAACUGGGGAAGCGCCUUGGAUACUGUGGGUCUCGAGGGGGGUAGAGGCGCGCGGAACUUCCGGUGGAGCGGUGAAAUGCGUAGAUAUCGGAAGGAACACCGGUGGCGAAAGCGGCGCGCUGGACCCCUUCUGACGCUGAGGCGCGAAAGCCAGGGGAGCAAACGGG